GACGGUCGGCAGGCCGGACGCCGCUCUUUUGGGCCUCUCCCGGAGCCAGAGGCUCGGUGACUUCCAUACUCGCCGGCUCCGCCAUGCUCGUCGAACACGUGGGCUCGGAAGACAGCCUCUUCCAGAUCAGCUGCCAUGUCGAGCCUUCAGAUGAGACUGCAGUCCCAGUUGACAGGUUGACUACAACCUGAAGAGAGGUGAGCCAGAGGCGACCAGCUGAAUGAUGCCUGGGCUCUUGACCCACAGAAGCUGGGAGAUAACACGCUUGUUGUUUUAAAGCUGCUAAGUUUGGGGGUAACUUCGUAACAGCAAAAGAUAACUAAAAUGAUGAUAAUUCAUUAAACCAUUGAUUGUUA